GCUGUAGCUCAGUGGUAGAGCUCAUGCCUAGCACGUGUGAAGCCCUGGGUUGUAUCCCCAGCACUGCA
rnacentral:tRNA from 1 species